GAUAAGCGCUGAAAGCAUCUAAGCACGAAACUCACCUCAAGAUGAGAAAUCUUUUAAGGGCCGUGGAAGACUACCACGUUGAUAGGCUACAGGUGUAAAGACAGUAAUGUCAAAGCUGAGUAGUACUAAUAACCCGUAAACUUAUAGU
rnacentral:rRNA from 1 species